rnacentral:rRNA from 1 species
AUUGAACGCUGGCGGCAGGCCUAACACAUGCAAGUCGAACGGUAACAGGAAGAAGCUUGCUUCUUUGCUGACGCGUGGCGGACGGGUGAGUAAUGUCUGGGAAACUGCCUGAUGGAGGGGGAUAACUACUGGAAACGGUAGCUAAUACCGCAUAACGUCGCAAGACCAAAGAGGGGGACCUUCGGGCCUCUUGCCAUCGGAUGUGCCCAGAUGGGAUUAGCUAGUAGGUGGGGUAACGGCUCACCUAGGCGACGAUCCCUAGCUGGUCUGAGAGGAUGACCAGCCACACUGGAACUGAGACACGGUCCAGACUCCUACGGGAGGCAGCAGUGGGGAAUAUUGGACAAUGGGCGCAAGCCUGAUGCAGCCAUGCCGCGUGUAUGAAGAAGGCCUUCGGGUUGUAAAGUACUUUCAGCGGGGAGGAAGGGAGUAAAGUUAAUACCUUUGCGCAUUGACGUUACCCGCAGAAGAAGCACCGGCUAACUCCGUG